CCUACGGGAGGCAGCAGUAGGGAAUUUUCGUCAAUGGGCGCAAGCCUGAACGAGCAAUGCCGCGUGAACGAGGAAGGUCUUCGGAUCGUAAAGUUCUGUUGAAGGGGAAAAAGAGCGGAGAGAGGAAAUGGUCUCCGAUUGAUAUUACCAUUCGAGGAAGUCACGGCUAACUACGUGCCAGCAGCCGCGGUAAUACGUAGGUGGCGAGCGUUAUCCGGAGUGAUUGGGCGUAAAGGGGGGGUAGUCGGCCUGCUAAGUCUGGAGUGAAGGGUACCGGCUCAACGGGUACAGGCUCUGGAAACUGGCGGGCUAGAGUGCAGGAGAGGGCGGUGGAACUCGAUGUGUAGCGGUAAAAUGCGUAGAUAUAUGGAAGAACACCAGUGGCGAAGGCGGCCGCCUGGCCUGUUACUGACGCUGAGGCACGAAAGCGUGGGGAGCAAAUAGGAUUAGAUACCCUAGUAGUC
rnacentral:rRNA from 1 species